CCAGACAGCGCCACAGAGCUUGUUUCACUCUGAUUUAUCAGGAGCUGCACCUGGGUGACACCAGCGGUGAUCAGCCUGUGCGUUGGGAAAAUAUGAAAUCCAGGUCUUUGGAGCAUGAAAAACAACAGGAGCGCCACAAGCAGCAACAUCCGUUGGAAAAAUAUUUCCCUUUGGUGAUGCUGUUAACUGGUUUUGCCACCCCAGCAGUGGAAGGGGGUGAGGAGAAGGAAGGAUGAGCAGCACCAUCUCCAGAGGGCUGCCUGUGCUCCAGCAAUUCAUCUGUGGUUUGGAGGGCAGAGUGACCCAUCCUCAGGAAGACACAGAGAUUGCAGGUGUGCUAAUUUCC